UACGUAGGGGGCAAGCGUUGUCCGGAUUUAUUGGGCGUAAAGAGCGUGUAGGCGGCCUGACAAGUCUGCUGUGAAAACUCGAGGCUCAACCUCGAGAUGUCGGCGGAAACGGUCUGGCUAGAGUCCGGAAGAGGAGAGUGGAAUUCCUGGUGUAGCGGUGAAAUGCGCAGAUAUCAGGAAGAACACCUAUGGCGAAGGCAGCUCUCUGGGACGGUACUGACGCUGAGACGCGAAAGCGUGGGGAGCGAACAGG
rnacentral:rRNA from 1 species